rnacentral:rRNA from 1 species
UUGAACGCUGGCGGAAUGCUUUACACAUGCAAGUCGAGCGGCAGCGCGGGGCAACCUGGCGGCGAGCGGCGAACGGGUGAGUAAUGCAUCGGAACGUACCCUGUCGUGGGGGAUAACACAGCGAAAGCUGUGCUAAUACCGCAUACGACCUGAGGGUGAAAGCGGGGGAUCGCAAGACCUCGCGCGAUAGGAGCGGCCGAUAUCGGAUUAGCUUGUUGGUGAGGUAAAGGCUCACCAAGGCGACGAUCCGUAGCUGGUCUGAGAGGACGACCAGCCACACUGGAACUGAGACACGGUCGAGACUCCUACGGGAGGCAGCAGUGGGGAAUUUUGGACGAUGGGGGCAACCCUGAUCCAGCCAUUCCGCGUGAGUGAAGAAGGCCUUCGGGUUGUAAAGCUCUUUCAGCAGGAACGAAACGGUGGCUACUAAUACUAGCUACUAAUGACGGUACCUGAAGAAGAAGCACCGGCUAACUACGU